GACGAACGCUGGCGGCGUGCUUAACACAUGCAAGUCGAACGGAAAGGCCCUGCUCUUGUGGGGCGCUCGAGUGGCGAACGGGUGAGUAAAACGCGAGUAACCCGUCCCUGACUUUGGGAUAACUCUAGGAAAAAGGGUAUCAUACCGGAUAGGAGCUUCUGCUGCACGGUGGGGGUAGGAAAGUUUCGGUGGUUGGGGAUGUACUCGCGGCUUAUCAGCUGGUUGGUGGGGUAGUUGCUUACCAAGGCUUUGACGGGUAGCCGGCCUGAGAGGGUGACCGGCCACAUUGGGACUGAGAUACGGCCCAGACGCCUACGGGAGGCAGCAGUGGGGAAUAUUGCACAAUGGGCGGAAGCCUGAUGCAGCAGCGCCGCGUGCGUGAUGACGGCCUUCGGGUUGUAAACCGCUUUCGCCUGUGACGAAGCGUGAGUGACGGUAAUGGGUAAAGAAGCACCGGCUAACUACGUG
rnacentral:rRNA from 1 species